rnacentral:misc_RNA from 1 species
UUGAAUAAACUUGGUUGGGUUGCUGCUGGCUCUCAGGAGCAUGUGCACACUCAUUCCAUUUUUCACCACCUGUGCACACACUGUAGGCCUGAAUGACACUUUUUCAAGGAAACUUGGGUUUGAGAACUGCGGUGAAUAUCAUCAGCUGUUCUUGCAUUUCAGGUCUAUGUUUUAAACAUAUACUCCAUUACAAGUCAUAGAAUGUUAAUUUAUUGGCCUUUGUGCCUUUUAAACUUAAUA